rnacentral:rRNA from 1 species
UGAACGCUGGCGGCGUGCUUAACACAUGCAAGUCGAACGAGAAAGGGAUUGCUUGCAAUCCUGAGUAGAGUGGCGCACGGGUGAGUAACACGUAGAUAAUCUACCUUCAAGCCUGGGAUAACAGUUCGAAAGGACUGCUAAUACCGGAUGAAGUUGAGCUGCACAAGUAGCUUAAUGAAAGAUUGCCUCUGAUUUAAGCAAUUGUUUGGGGAUGAGUUUGCGGACCAUUAGUUUGUUGGUGGGGUAACGGCCUACCAAGACUGCGAUGGUUAGCUGGUCUGAGAGGAUGAUCAGUCACACUGGAACUGGAACACGGUCCAGACUCCUACGGGAGGCAGCAGUGAGGAAUUUUGCGCAAUGGGGGAAACCCUGACGCAGCAACGCCGCGUGAGUGAAGAAGGCCUUUGGGUCGUAAAGCUCUGUCAAUUGGGAAGAAGUUGUAAUUAUCCAAUAGGUAAUUGCAUUGACGGUACCAAUGGAGGAAGCGCCGGCUAACUCC